rnacentral:tRNA from 1 species
GGAUAUGGCGAAAUUGGUAG